AAGGGACCAGAUUGCAUCAGAAACAUCGAGAGAGACUGAGAGAGAUCGACCCAUUCUUGAGACUCGGAGACCCGAUCAUGUGACCCGACCGGAGUGACGCCGUCCGGCCACCGAUCGACGACGCACGACCACCGAUAUCUUCCUCUCGUCAUCGCCGUCACGUCUGCGGUCUCGGAUUGCCCAUGCACUCGGCGAGGAGGGAGAAUCGACGGUGAGAAGACUUGACUGCUCCGGUGAAUUUCUACGAUUUCCGGCCUCCGUUUGGACCGCAUUCGCAGGAACUCGGGCUUGGUCGAUCUAAAUUUCAUCUCUUGAGAAGUGAGAUGCAAACCCGAGCGUGAUCGAAGAGUAGCAAGACUAUUAACCUGGAAACUAGAAUGCUUCCUGCAUGGAGUUUGUGUUCGCAGCAACCCAGACUUAAUCACCAUGAUUCAUGCAAUUGAGGACUCCAGUUACCCGAGGAACGGAAGGUUCGCGACUCUCGGAAUACGUGAGAGAAAGCGUCGGAAUCCAGGUAGGGAUUCAGGACUCUCCUCGGUUGGUGAUUUUCUUUUAUAUUUUAUUAAUGUGAUGCAUGAUAAGUGGUAUGGGUUGGUUAUGUAAAAUGCAAUGCAUACUAACCAAUCCGUGAGAAAAUGUGUGAUGGCUUGAGAGCGAAGGGUGUCUCUGACUUCCUUGGGUUCGAUCCCCUUAACCUCCGAAGGGUUAGUUACGCCGGUCGUCCGGGUAUUCCGAUCGUAAUAACGGGCCCGGUACGUGUGUGUAGCUAGGUAGUGGACGCUCUCGCUACGCUUACCUGGUGAUAAAUUAAUUUGAGGUAAGGUCGUGUAAUGGGUCUAUGGGACCGGCCAUCAGGUAAUACUUGGAUUUGGCGUCGUAUUUAUUUAAGCAUCAUGCAUCGGUUUUCAAGUUGAAAAACAUUAAAGUUUGUCCUUCUUUUAAAUAUUUGGUUUAAAUAUGUUUUCAUAUUGGGCAGCCCAAAUAUUUGUUUAUUGGUUUUAAGUCUAGUUGAGGUAGAGUUCCUGUUGAGCAGUGAGGACGAAAGCUCACC